rnacentral:rRNA from 1 species
UACGGAGGGUGCAAGCGUUAUCCGGAUUCACUGGGUUUAAAGGGUGCGUAGGCGGGCAGGUAAGUCCGUGGUGAAAUCUCUGAGCUUAACUCAGAAACUGCCAUGGAUACUAUUUGUCUUGAAUAUUGUGGAGGUAAGCGGAAUAUGUCAUGUAGCGGUGAAAUGCUUAGAUAUGACAUAGAACACCAAUUGCGAAGGCAGCUUACUACACAGUUAUUACGCUGAGGCACGAAAGCGUGGGGAUCAAACAGG